rnacentral:rRNA from 1 species
UUGACGGGGGCCCGCACAAGCGGUGGAGUAUGUGGUUUAAUUCGAUGCAACGCGAAGAACCUUACCUGGUCUUGACAUCCCGGAGACCCUUAGGAAACUAGGGGGUGCUUCCAUCUGGAAGAAUCUGGAGACAGGUGCUGCAUGGCUGUCGUCAGCUCGUGUCGUGAGAUGUUGGGUUAAGUCCCGCAACGAGCGCAACCCUUGCCUUUAGUUGCCAGCAGUUCGGCUGGGCACUCUAAAGGGACUGCCGGUGUUAAACCGGAGGAAGGUGGGGAUGACGUCAAGUCCUCAUGGCCUUUAUGACCAGGGCUACACACGUACUACAAUGGCCGAUACAAAGGGCAGCGACACUGCGAGGUGAAGCCAAUCCCGUAAAAUCGGUCUCAGUCCGGAUUGGAGUCUGCAACUCGACUCCAUGAAGUUGGAAUCGCUAGUAAUCGUGGAUCAGCAAGCCGCGGUGAAUACGUUCCCGGGCCUU